GGCUUUUGGAAAGUUUGAGAACACACAAGGCAGCCAUUGCUGGGAAAAUGCAGGGCCAGAGAGAGAAGACAUUCAUAUUGAUCCUCGUUGCUGCGCUCUCUCACAGGGUGACUCAGGCAAAGGUAAUGGAUAUGGUUCCUAAUGCCGUGGAUGACCAGUACACUCACUGUCGGGAGCAGAUGUUGAAGAAGGUUGUGGAAGGGGGUCUGCUGGAAGAAGAACUGAAAGGCAGUAUAGAGUAUAGUUCUGCCUGGCAGGCAAAGCAGUGUACAAAAUUGAUCCCGGGAGGCGUCAAGCAACACACAGAUGCAUUGGUGGCUUAUGGACAUGGGUGAAAUGUGUUCAGAAAGAUUUUCAACCAAGCAGUGGAGACUCAGGGUGGGAAUGUCACUGUCUAUAACGGCAACUUCCGGUUCAAAUCCCUCCACUUCCUUCUAAUGGAUGCCAUGAGGCUUUUGAAGACAGAGAACUGCCAAACUGUGUUUCGUGGCCCAAGCAAAGAGUAUGAGGCACAAGUAGGGUCAGAAGUGCGAUUUGGGAGGUUUACCACAACCAAGGCCAAACGUUCCGACG